rnacentral:lncRNA from 1 species
GCCGUGGGUCGCCGAGCCAUCGUGACCCACCGAGGGUCCAGGUCUUCCAGAGUCCCACAAAGCCCGGCGGGCGGUGGGGCAGACAGCGCCCCACGCGGCCUGCUCUGGCCUCGGGCUCGCGGCCACCCCGGGAGGCCAGGCCGCAGUCCUGCCAAGAGUCACACGUCUUGCACAAUUUCCGGGAGCCAAAUCCGACAGAGCCAUCUGUCUCAAACAGACCCCAGGCUCGCCUCCAGCUGGUCCCUCACACGCGCCAGAGCGCUCGGUGACGGUGACGGUGCAGAACACUCAUCUGCCAGCUCGUCCCCAUCCCCCGAGAGCAAGCAGGGAGGCCAGAGGCGCCAGAGAGGCGAGCGCGCGGCCAUGGCUGGAGCACAGGC